UACGUAGGUGGCAAGCGUUGUCCGGAUUUACUGGGCGUAAAGAGCGCGCAGGCGGUCGUUCAAGUCGCGUGUGAAAGCCCCCGGCUCAACUGGGGAGGGUCACGCGAUACUGAUCGACUCGAAGGCAGGAGAGGGUAGUGGAAUUCCCGGUGUAGUGGUGAAAUGCGUAGAUAUCGGGAGGAACACCAGUGGCGAAGGCGGGUCUCUGGGCCGAAACUGACGCUGAGGAGCGAAAGCGUGGGGAGCAAACAGG
rnacentral:rRNA from 1 species